CUCCUUAACAGCAACAUAUCAGAGGAAAAGUAGCAGAAGCCCUGCAAGUUAUCAAUUCAUUACGGUUGUUAAUAGAAGUUUACUGAAGGUAAACUAUUACCACCACAAAAAACGACGAAAAUAACGGAGCGUACGUGCUCCGUACUGCGGCUGUGUGUGAGACGAUUGGCGAGGAGGCACACGGAGGAAGGAUACGAUGUACAAAGCAGCACUCUCUUCGGCGCUAGGGCCCGGGGAAUGGAUGAUGGCCAGGUCUACUGCCAAGCAAAGGCUCUGGGCGGUUCACGUCGGUCAGCGCAAGCACGCAGUGUAUAUCUGCGAGCUUGUCACUCGAGGAG